rnacentral:rRNA from 1 species
UACGUAGGGUGCAAGCGUUUAAUCGGAAUUACUGGGCGUAAAGCGUGCGCAGGCGGUGAUGUAAGACCGAUGUGAAAUCCCCCGGGCUUAACCUGGGAACUGCAUUGGUGACUGCAUUGCUAGAGUAUGGCAGAGGGGGGUGGAAUUCCACGUGUAGCAGUGAAAUGCGUAGAGAUGUGGAGGAAUACCGAUGGCGAAGGCAGCCCCCUGGGAUAACACUGACGCUCAUGCACGAAAGCGUGGGGAGCAAACAGG